CAGAAUCUUCAGCAAUAAUCCGCUUGUGUCCAGUCGUGUCCGGAUAUUCUGAUAAACACAGAACGUAUAGGAUGGGAUUCGGCGAGUGUUCUCUCAAGAGGGAACUCGUUGCUAUAUAUACACGCGCCGCAAUUAUACUUCCAGUUUUCCUUCUUACGGUCAAUCGAACCUAUGUCCGCAACUUGCGUGUUGCAUUAUGAUUGUGAAGCAAUGUUACGUAACAUGAAGAUAAAGAAAAUAACAUGAAGAUAAACAAAAUAAAUAGAUAAAACAAAA